GCCGGCCCCUCCCUUCAAGGCAAUUGGCAGUUUCUCAGAGCACCUGGACACUGGCCUUCCUGCCACCACUUGGAGCUGGCCGUGGUACUUCGAAGCUACCGCCCAGGGCCUGGGGUCCGGAUGAGGACCUUCCAUUAAUGCGGCCACAGCCAAGGAAGAUCCCGACCCUGCUCCCGAGAGUCUCCUAGAGGCAAGCCUCCCCUCUCCCCCGUGUGGCCAGGGCCCCGUUUCAGCCUGUCCAAUCCCUGAUCCAGUCGGCCUCCUCACAGGCUGGGGUCUUCCGCAGGCCAUCUGCCUCAAGGGUGGGACGAACAGCCUCCAGGGCCCCAGAGGGCGAAGCUCCGGGGGCCGCUUAGGCAGCAGAGGCUGUGUCAGGAGGGCCCCUGUGGGGGUGGCUGAGAGCCUCAGCUGGGCCUUCUCCAUCCCUGGGUGAGGGCGGCCCAAGGCUUGGCCACGCUUCUCUCUCAACACUCUGGGGAAGCUCUGUGAUGCCCAGCUUGGCGGAUCCAGUCCGCUCUCACAUCACUGCCUGGCUCCCCUUGUCCCCUCUCAAAGCCAUCACCCCCAAAGCAGAGCCCACGAGCUUGCCCUGUCUCCUGCACUCUGAACCUCAGCCGCUCCCUCCCCUCUGCGCCCCAGACCCCCACGUGGGCCUCCCGGCCACUCCCCUCCCUCUGUGCCCCAGAUCCCUCCGUGGGCCUCCUCAGGAGCCACACGGUGCUUCCCACUUCAGUCCCUGACCUUUGCCCACGCCAGUCACCAUCCACUCCCAGCAGUGCAGGUCUGACUAGGUCCCGUCCGGCUUCCCAAGGCCCCGAAGCCAUCCACAAGGUAGCCACCCCCUAUACCCCCAGCUGGCCCCCUAGCACUCCUUUAUUCCCCUCACUUUCUCUGCUCUGGCUCUCCCCAUUUUCCUCUGACUCACAACAGUUGGUGAAAGCCCUCCCUCACAUCUGGGAUUGAAUGUGUAUGGCCUUGAGAGUCUAAUAGCUGGUUAACAUCAGUCAGCUCUGGGAAAGCAAGAAUCCUCUCAUCUGUUGCCUCCAUGGGCCCGUGCCCACCAUGGGAGCUUAAUCAAUGCUUUCUGAUUAACUAGCGGGUGCAAGGGACAUAGAGGGUGGAGCACGUGAGGGAGACCUGGGUUAAAAUCCAGCCUUGGCCACUUCCCGGCUGUGAGCCUGGCAAGCCUCUGCCCGCCUCCUAAAGGGCCAGAUGGGAAGCAUCAAUCCCAAAGGGUCGACAUGAGCACCCGAGAUGUGCUCAGCACCCGAGAUGUGCUCAGCACUUUACCUGGCACACAGCUGGCAUUUCAUCAACGUACACAUAUAUAUGCAUUACAUACAUAUCUUUAGCCCAGUCCUUUUCGUUCUCCAUCUUCCUCUCUGUGGUCCUUCCUUUCUCACUAGUCCCACUCUUGUUUGUGCCCCCCUCCUCCCGCCUCCAUCCCAGCAUCGCCCCUGACUCCACCCCAGCCUUCCAGCAUCAUCUACAUCAUCCUUCUGGAAUCGUAGGUCACCCCCAUUGCAUAGAAAGUCAUGUAUAAACCUGGGAGCCUGACUAGAACAGAACUCGGGGUGCGACGUCCUGCCUUUGCCUUAAAUCUAUUAGCCCUUCCACCAAUGCAUAAAAGCUAUGUUCUAGGUGGACCAGACUGCGCUCAAGCCACAUCCCCUGGACCCCAUCUGCCCUAUCUUCUAUUCCUGAAAUGAACCCCAAAUCUUGUGGCUCAAUGAUGGAUCUAGCGGCUCUAAGGAAGGUCUUCUACCCCAUUAUGGGCCUCGGCCACUUUCUGCCCCAUGAGAAACCGCGAUCGCACUGUGAGAACCUCAUCCUCCGUGGCUGGGAAGCUGGGCCAGUCCCAGCUGCCGCUUGGCAGGUGGAUCCCAAGACUGACGCCAGGAGCUUGCUCACGAUUCCGCAUCUCGUAUCUUACUCGAAAACUGGCCUCAUACUGGUCAGUUACUACAUCUAUGCUCCUCUGAAAACAGACACGAGGUGGAGGGGACACCUCUCUGAUUUCCUGGAGCUGUACCCGUUUACUCUCCCUCUCCCGACUCAAAAAUCUCCUCAAUUUUCUACCAAUUAGAAAUCAGAUUACUUAAUUAGACAUCCCAUUUUGUGCUGUGCUUCUAGUUCUCUAUUAAGAUAAACAUCUGGCUCCCCGUAUUCGUGGUCCAGAGGCCAGCUGAGAAGACGUGGCCCCGCUCCAUCAUUUGGCUGGCGUGCACUGCCUAAUAAACCAAGGUGCUCUGAAGCAUGGACUUCCCCUAGUUUGGGGAAUAGGAGAAAAUGGCGUGGCUACAGUCUCAGAACUGCUACAGAUGGAGGUCUGUCCCUAGAAACAACUGAUGGAUCAACUUGGUACAGCCUAAGAUUUUAGCAGAAUUAUCUGGGACUCUCUACAAGCAAUUUGGAACGGGAGAAGCAGAGCCCCCUGCAGCACCGUCCUGAGGACGGACAACUGUUCCAGAAUGUUCAGGAGAUAUUUCCAGGGAGCAGAUGAAUGUAUAGGUCACACGGGACUGAAGGGGAAAUGAUUUAAGGGACAUUGGGAGGGGAUUACUAAGAUACAAGGAGACCGGAUGCUAUUUAAUAUUAACGAUCAUCGUUGUUUUGGUGUUUAUGUUUGCUAAGUUUUCUUAGUCUCUUGGUGACAUUUAAAUUUCCUCUUUCAAAAUGAGCCUGCCAUCAGUCCUCUAAGUAGCACGAUCUGUAGCCUGAUAGUGUAAUUCUGAUUAUGAAUACGAUAAAAACCUGAUCAAUCUGGCUUAUAGAAAAGGGAUCCACAGGGGAGGGGAUGUGAAUCAAAAGGGGGAAAUUUCAACCAGAAGGAGACAGAGCCCUACCUGUGAGCCCCUGGCACACACGCUCAACAAACUGAUGUACUAGGAAGCUCAAACCUUUGUUUCCACAAUCACUUUAAGCAAGUAACACACAUCAGCACCUGGCCCACAGAGUCACUUCGUAAUGCUUGUUCUCUUCCUUUCCCUCCCAAUUCAGCAACAAUUCCCAAUGGCCCCUGGGAAAUAAGCUUGUUUCCUCCUUUCUCUGUAGUUCUAGUUCCCGCUAAAUCCUGCUAGGAGGGCACCCAGCCUCCCUUGGGCUCUCUGGUGCCCAGCCUGGGUGUGCAGGCGCAAGGUUGGGGGCAGGGGGAGCCAGACCCAGGCAGGGGCUCUGACUGCCCUUUCUCCCACCCGGCCAGGGAGAAUUCUUAAGGCCGGGGAGCACACAAUGUCUGAGGCCUUUUGGCAGCUGGGGCCAAGCCCCUUUGGAAGCUUGGCCGGCCGGCAGGGUCACUUUCUCUCCUCCUUACCUGCUGCUGACUCUGAUGGUGGAAUUUGAGCAGGUGCUGCUGCUGCUGC